UAGAGUUUGAUCCUGGCUCAGGAUGAACGCUGGCGGCGUGUCUAAGGCAUGCAAGUCGAAUGCCGCUGCUCCGCAGCGGCAUGGCAAACGGGAGAGUAACACAUUGGUAACCUGCCCCGAGGACGAGGACAACCCGAAGAAAUUCGGAAUAAUCCUCGAUAAAAGUGAGGGGACUUAAAGUCAUUCCCACUUAAAACUUCGGUGCCUCGGGAGGGGCCUAUGUCCUAUCAGCUUGUUGGUGAGGUAACGGCUCACCAAGGCUACGACGGGUAGCGGGUGUGAGAGCAUGACCCGUCUCACUGGGACUGAGACACUGCCCAGACUCCUACGGGAGGCUGCAGUCAAGAAUCUUCCUCAAUGGCCGAAAGGCUGAAGGAGCGACGCCGCGUGACUGAUGAAGCCCUUCGGGGUGUAAAGGUCUUUUCUCUUUGAAGAAUCAAUGACGGUAAAAGAGGAAUAAGGGGCUGCUAACCUCGUGCCAGCAGCAGCGGUAAUACGAGGGCCCCAAGCGUUAUCCGGAUUUAUUGGGCGUAAAGGGUCCGUAGGCGGCCCGUCGCAUCUCCUGUUAAAUCCUGGAGCUCAACUCCGGGACCGCGGGAGAGAUGGACGAGCUAGAGACCGGGAGAGGCAAGCGGAAUUGCCGGUGUAGGGGUUAAAUCCGUUAAUAUCGGCAGGAACACCAAAUGCGAAGGCAGCUUGCUAGAACGGUUCUGACGCUCAGGGACGAAAGCGUGGGGAGAGAACGGGAUUAGAUACCCCGGUAUUCCACGCCGUAAACGUUGGAUGCUAAGCAUUGGUAGUAUCGACCCUAUCAGUGCUGUCUACCUUAGCUAACGCGUUAAGCAUCCCGCCUGGGGAGUACGAGCGCAAGCUUAAAACUCAAAAGGAAUAGACGGGGACCCGCACAAGCGGUG
rnacentral:rRNA from 1 species